UCAGCCUGUUCCCCCAAUUUCACCACCUGCCUCUCCCCCCCAGACCCGCAGGCCUCCGCCCCCCAGCUGCCCUGGCCCCUGCUCGGGAGCCUGCUGGCGGGGGGGCUGGCGCUGGCCCUGGGGGCUGUGGUCAGGCUCCGGCUGUGCCGCCGGGGGACAAGGAAACGGGGUGCUCUGGCUCCCCGUGGGGUUCACCCGCCCCCGGGACCCAAUCGGGGAGGACGCCAUUGGCCUGAAGUGAGUGACACAGCGACCCCCCAUGACCCUGCCCUGCUCCCCACGCGCCCACCGGGGGGCCAGGCUGGGGGACACACCCCACUUCCCCCUCCCAGGCCUCUGAAGCUGGAGCCCGAGUUCGAGGAUGACAGGCAGCCGACCCCUCAGCAAAUCAAGGCUGACGCCCCCCCCCUCGGACCAGGACCGCUGGCACUGGACAUGCAAGGACCCAAGUGCCGGGGCUCCCGUCCCACAAUGCAUCAUGCUGACCCUGCCCCAGGAUGAGGCCCCCGAGGGGCGGGACCUCGAUGCCAGGGGGCCAGAUGGGGUGACGCCGCUGAUGGCAGCGGUGUGCGCGGGGGGCGCCGUGGGGGAGCUGUUGGCGCAGGGGGCACGGCUGGACGCCCAG
rnacentral:lncRNA from 1 species